rnacentral:lncRNA from 12 species
CCUUUAAAACUACAGAAGAAAAAAGGGAAAUAACAAUACAUGCACAUAUACCUUGGGGAAAAAUGGGUGUUUAAGCCUUUCAAAAGAAGACCUGAUGGGAUGGGUUUGCAUUAUCCAAUACCUAGCAGAGUUUGAAUGCAAGCCAAUUCAAAGUUGAUCAACCUUUAAUUUUUCAUCUAAAGUUAUAUGCUUUUAUACAUUUCCUUGUGGCUAACACUCUAAUCACCAGUCUAAUCAGUUAAGUAUUGCCUUUAUCUUACAAUUAAUAGUAUUAUCAGUAUGCUCAAGAUCCUAUUCAUCCAUAAUUCCUUCCACCAUCACUGCAUGCCUACUGGGUGCAAAGUAUUUUGCUAGGCAAAAGGUUGGUGUGAUUUAUCCUCUUUUCUUCAAAGGAGCCCAAGAAGCUCAGAAAAUUCCAGGCACCAGAAACCUGAAGAAAACUACAUCAAGUGAUAUCAUAUUCAAACUGCCUGAAACCAAAGAAAAAGAAAUAUAAAGAGUAGGAGAAAAACUCACAAAAU